GACGAAGGAUGCAAGCGUUAUCCGGAUUCAUUGGGUUUAAAGGGCGCGUAGGCGGUCAGCACAAGUCAGUUGUGAAAUCUCCGGGCUUAACUCGGAAAGGUCAACUGAUACUGUGCGACUAGAGUGCAGAAGGGGCAACUGGAAUUCUCGGUGUAGCGGUGAAAUGCGUAGAUAUCGAGAGGAACACCUGCGGCGAAGGCGGGUUGCUGGGCUGACACUGACGCUGAUGCGCGAAAGCCAGGGGAGCGAACGGG
rnacentral:rRNA from 1 species